GUGGAUCCCUUGAGCCCAGGAGGCGGAGUUCACAGUGAGCUGAUUGUGCCACUGUGCUCCAGCCUGGGCAACAGAGUGAGACUCCAUUUCUAAAAAAUAAAAAACCAGAAAACAUGAGCCUGGCCUUUUUUCAGGGCUACAACUCGUCAUUACAGUCCUGGGAUGUGGCCCUGCCCUGAGUUGCAUGAGAUUCCUCCUGAACAAUGUUUCCAAAGCGAGUUGAGCUCCUGAGCCUGGUGCUGAUGAAUUGUGUCAGAGACAGGCCUCAGCACUGGGUGCGGGUAACGAGUGUCCUCUCUCCACAGGUGCCGUCUGCCUGCAGCCUUUCUGCCAUCUGUACUGGGGCUGCACCCGCACCGGCUGCUUCGGCUGCCUGGCCCCGUUCUGUGAGCUCAACCUGGGUGACAAGUGUCUGGACGGCGUGCUGAACAACAACAGCUACGAGUCAGACAUCCUGAAGAAUUACCUGGCAGCCAGAGGUUUGACAUGGAAGAACAUGUUGACCGAGAGCCUGGUGGCUCUCCAGCGGGGGGUGUUUCUGCUGUCUGGUGAGUUCUUCUCUUGCCUCCUGCUCUAGGGUGCGUGUGACUUUCCAGGGCUGCACCUGCCUGUCUGCUCUCCCAGUGACAACUCUGACCUUCACCCAUCCUGGAAGAGAAGAAAAAAGAUCC